AUGGAGAGAUAGUUGGUCUUUUUGGAGUAUUUGAUGGUAUAUUCUAUCUUACUCUUGUGUACCUUUCUCUGUCACACACACUCUUGCUAACAUGCAUGAAAUGCAUAACUUACUAACGGUUAUGCAUGGUUCACAUGAACCAUAUAGGUAAAUACUUUCUAACAUCUGUGGUGAUUAUGUUUCUGUUUUAAAGAGUGUGUAUGAUUGAUCACUGUUCUCCUAAGCUGUAGCCUUCCUUCAGUUCAGAAUGUAUCUGAAAAGAUAUUAUGCAGAUUCUGCUAUUUGUUAUCUGCUCCAAUGUGAUAGCAGUACUUUAAGCCAUUUCUCAAGGGCUGUUAUUGGCUCAGGAUGGAAUAUUAUCGUGGUCAUGGAGGUGUACGGGCUGCUGAAUAUGUGAAGCACCACCUUUUCAGUAAUUUGAUCAAGCAUCCAAAGUUCAUAUCUGACACCAAUCUGCUAUAGGUUAU